GACGAACGCUGGCGGCGUGCUUAACACAUGCAAGUCGAACGGAAAGGCCCUGCUUUUGUGCGGUGCUCGAGUGGCGAACGGGUGAGUAACACUUGAGUAACCUGCCCCUGACUUUGGGAUAACUUCAUGAAACUGGGGCUCAUACCGGCUAGGAUCUCCCGCUGCAUGGUGGGGGUUGGAUGGUUUCGGCGGUUGGGGAUGGACUCGCGGCUCAUCAGCUUGUUGGUGGGGUAGUGGCUUACCAAGGCUUUGACGGGUAGCCGGCCUGAGAGGAUAACCGGCCACGUUGGGCCUGGACUGAGACCCGGCCUACACCGGUACGCAGCGGUGGAGAAUAUUGCACAGUGGGCGGAAGCCUGGUGUAGCAACGCCGCGUGCGGGAUGUCGGCAAUCGGGUAGUAAACCGCUUUCGCCUGUGCCGAAACGUGAGUGACGGUAAUGGGUGAAGAAGCACCGGCUAACUACGUG
rnacentral:rRNA from 1 species